rnacentral:misc_RNA from 1 species
UUUAAGAUAAAAAUCAAUAAUGGCUUGGGCCUAUAGCUCAGUUGGUUAGAGCACACGCCUGAUAAGCGUGAGGUCGAUGGUUCGAGUCCAUUUAGGCCCACCAAAAUAUUUAUUUUAAAAAAACAAGCUCUUUGAAAAGUAGAUAAAUUAAGGUUAGAAGA